rnacentral:rRNA from 1 species
GCGCGGGAGCAAAUCCUGGCGGCGAGUGGCGAACGGGUGAGUAAUAUAUCGGAACGUGCCCAGUAGUGGGGGAUAGCCCGGCGAAAGCCGGAUUAAUACCGCAUGAGACCUGAGGGUGAAAGCGGGGGAUCGCAAGACCUCGCGCUAUUGGAGCGGCCGAUAUCAGAUUAGCUAGUUGGUGGGGUAAAGGCCCACCAAGGCAACGAUCUGUAGUUGGUCUGAGAGGACGACCAGCCACACUGGGACUGAGACACGGCCCAGACUCCUACGGGAGGCAGCAGUGGGGAAUUUUGGACAAUGGGCGCAAGCCUGAUCCAGCAAUGCCGCGUGCAGGAAGAAGGCCUUCGGGUUGUAAACUGCUUUUGUCAGGGAAGAAAUCCUCUGGGUUAAUACCUCGGGGGGAUGAC